AUUGAACGCUGGCGGCAUGCUUUACACAUGCAAGUCGAACGGCAGCGCGGGCUUCGGCCUGGCGGCGAGUGGCGAACGGGUGAGUAAUACAUCGGAACGUGCCCAGUAGUGGGGGAUAGCUCGGCGAAAGCCGGAUUAAUACCGCAUACGACCUGAGGGUGAAAGCGGGGGAUCUUCGGACCUCGCGCUAUUGGAGCGGCCGAUGGCAGAUUAGCUAGUUGGUGGGGUAAAGGCCUACCAAGGCGACGAUCUGUAGCUGGUCUGAGAGGACGACCAGCCACACUGGGACUGACACACGGCCCAGACUCCUACGGGAGGCAGCAGUGGGGAAUUUUGGACAAUGGGCGAAAGCCUGAUCCAGCAAUGCCGCGUGUGUGAUGAAGGCCUUCGGGUUGUAAAGCACUUUUGGCGGGAACGAAAAGGACUGUGCCAAUACCACGGUUCGAUGACGGUACCCGCAGAAUAAGCACCGGCUAACUACGUG
rnacentral:rRNA from 1 species